GACGAACGCUGGCGGCGUGCCUAAUACAUGCAAGUCGAACGCUUCUUUCCUCCCGAGUGCUUGCACUCAAUUGGAAAGAGGAGUGGCGGACGGGUGAGUAACACGUUGGUAAACUACCCAUCAGAGGGGGAUAACACUUGCAAACAGGUGCUAAUACCGCAUAACAGUUUAUGCCGCAUGGCAUAAGAGUGAAAGGCGCUUUCGGGUGUCGCUGAUGGAUGGACCCGCGGUGCAUUAGCUAGUUGGUGAGGUAACGGCUCACCAAGGCCACGAUGCAUAGCCGACCUGAGAGGGUGAUCGGCCACACUGGGACUGAGACACGGCCCAGACUCCUACGGGAGGCAGCAGUAGGGAAUCUUCCGCAAUGGGCGAAAGUCUGACCGAGCAACGCCGCGUGAGUGAAGAAGGUUUUCGGAUCGUAAAACUCUGUUGUUAGAGAAGAACAAGUACGUUAGUAACUGAACGUCCCCUGACGGUAUCUAACCAGAAAGCCACGGCUAACUACGUG
rnacentral:rRNA from 1 species